UACGGAGGGUGCAAGCGUUGUCCGGAUUUAUUGGGUUUAAAGGGUGCGUAGGUGGCCUUGUAAGUCCGUGGUGAAAGCCUCUCGCUUAACGAGAGAACUGCCAUGGAUACUGCAAGGCUUGAGUCCAGACGAGGUUGGCGGAAUGGAUGGUGUAGCGGUGAAAUGCAUAGAUACCAUCCAGAACCCCGAUUGCGUAGGCAGCUGACUAGGCUGGUACUGACACUGAGGCACGAAAAGCGUGGGGGAGCGAACAGG
rnacentral:rRNA from 1 species